rnacentral:rRNA from 1 species
GACGAACGCUGGCGGCGUGCUUAACACAUGCAAGUCGAACGGAAAGGCCCUGCUAUUGUGGGGUGCUCGAGUGGCGAACGGGUGAGUAACACGAGAGUAACCUGCCCUUGACUUUGGGACAACUUCAGGAAACUGGGGCUAAUACCGGAUACGAGCUCCUGCUGCAUGGAGGGGGUUGGAAAGUUUCGGCGGUUGGGGAUGGACUCGCGGCUUAUCAGCUUGGUGGUGGGGUAGUGGCUUACCAAGGCUUUGACGGGUAGCCGGCCUGAGAGGGUGACCGGCCCCAUUAGGUCUGAGAUGCGGCCCGGACUCCUACGGGAGGCAGCGGUGGAGUGUAUUGCACAGUGGGCGGGAGCCUGAUGCAGCGACGCCGCGUGCGGUAUGACGGCCAUCGGUUUGUAAACCGCAUUCGCCUGUGACGGGGCGUGAGUGACGGUAAUAGGUAAAGAAGCCCCGGCUAACUACGUG